GAUGAACGCUGGCGGCGUGCCUAAUACAUGCAAGUCGAGCGAACGGACGAGAAGCUUGCGUCUCUGAUGUUAGCGGCGGACGGGUGAGUAACACGUGGAUAACCUACCUAUAAGACUGGGAUAACUUCGGGAAACCGGAGCUAAUACCGGAUAAUAUUUUGAACCGCAUGGUUCAAAGGUGAAAGACGGGCUUGCUGUCACUUAUAGAUGGAUCCGCGCUGCAUUAGCGAGUUGGUAAGGUAACGGCUUACCAAGGCAACGAUGCAUAGCCGACCUGAGAGAGUGAUCGGCCACACUGGAGCUGGACCACGGUCCAGACUACUACGGGAGGCACCAGUAGGGAAUCUUCCGCAAUGGGCGGGAGCCUGACGGAGCGACGCCGCGUGAGUGAUGACGGUCUUCGGAUCGUAAAACUCUGUUAUUAGGGAAGAACAUAUGUGUAAGUAAAUGUGCACAUCUUGACGGUACCUAAUCAGAAAGCCCCGGCUAACUACGUG
rnacentral:rRNA from 1 species